AUUGAACGCUGGCGGCAUGCCUUACACAUGCAAGUCGAACGGCAGCACGGGUGCUUGCACCUGGUGGCGAGUGGCGAACGGGUGAGUAAUACAUCGGAACAUGUCCUGUAGUGGGGGAUAGCCCGGCGAAAGCCGGAUUAAUACCGCAUACGAUCUACGGAUGAAAGCGGGGGACCUUCGGGCCUCGCGCUAUAGGGUUGGCCGAUGGCUGAUUAGCUAGUUGGUGGGGGAAAGGCCUACCAAGGCGACGAUCAGUAGCCGGUCCGAGGGGACGACCAGCCCCUGGGAGGCGAGGACGCGCCCCCACCCCGGGGGGGAGGCACGGGUGGGAAUUUUUGGGGAGGGAGCGAUGGCCUAUUCCGGACAUUGGGCGUGUGUCAAAAACACCUUUGGGUUGUAAGGGAUUUUGGCCGGAGAGUAAUACCUUGCCCUUAACCGGGACGGGGAUGACCGGACCGGGAGAAAAAGCCCCGGCUAACUCCGUG
rnacentral:rRNA from 1 species